rnacentral:tRNA from 1 species
AGGGUAUUAGUUUAAUUAAAACAACAUUUAAAUUGCACUUAAAAAAUAUAAUCAAACUUUAUAUACCUUA